AGCUCCAAUAGCGUAUAUUAAAGUUGUUGUGGUUAAAAAGCUCGUAGUUGGAUUUCGGCGGGUAGGGGUUGGUUUGAAUUGAUUCAACACUGACUUUUUUUCCCCGGUUUUUUGCCAGAAUUUUACGGGGGAUCUUUACCAAUUUUCCCUUGGAACUGGCAGGUUUACUUUGAAAAAAUUAGAGUGCUCAAAGCAAGCUUACUGCUUGAAUAGUUGCGCAUGGAAUAAUAGAAUAGGAAGUCGUUUCUAUUUUGUUGGUUUUCGGAAAUCGACUUAAUGAUUAAUAGGGAUAGUCGGGGGCAUUCGUAUUCAAACGACAGAGGUGAAAUUCUUGGACCGUUUGAAGACGAACUAAGGCGAAAGCAUUUGCCAAGAAUGUUUUCA
rnacentral:rRNA from 1 species